GACGAACGCUGGCGGCGUGCUUAACACAUGCAAGUCGAACGGAAAGGCCUGCUUUCCCUUGUGGAUUGCGGGUACUCGAGUGGCGAACGGGUGAGUAACACGUGAGUGAUCUGCCCCCAACUUGGGUAUAAGCCUGGGAAACUGGGUCUAAUUCCCGAUAGGACUGCAGGGUGGUGCCUGUGGUGGAAAACGAUUUUCUAGUGGUUGGGGAUGAGCUCGCGGCCUAUCAGCUUGUUGGUGGGGUAAUGGCCUACCAAGGCGGCGACGGGUAGCCGGCCUGAGAGGGUGGACGGCCACAUUGGGACUGGGAUACGGCCCAGACUCCUACGGGAGGCAGCAGUGGGGAAUAUAGCACAAUGGGCGGAAGCCUGAUGCAGCGACGCCGCGUGGGGGAUGACGGCCUUCGGGUUGUAAACUCCUUUCGACCGCGAGGAAGCCACCUGGUUGGAAGGGUGGUGACGGUAGUGGUAGAAGAAGCACCGGCUAACUACGU
rnacentral:rRNA from 1 species